AAGUCGUAACAAGGUUUCCGUAGGUGAACCUGCGGAAGGAUCAUUAACACGUAUCCAACGUUAAACCCCCCCGUGAACCUUUAUUGUGGCACGCCUAUCCGUUAGAAAGUGGCAAUCCCUGGUAAAUCAUCGCCGAACAGUUUUGAUUCAGGGACUUCUGCGUGGGUAGGACAACUGCGCGAGCAAGUGACCUGGCAUCCCUCUGCUUGUUAGUGUCUGAAAGUGUCACUAGCUCUGCCGGCGACCGGGUCAAUGGGCCCUCGGCCCCCUAGAUCACCCCUUUGCAUGAAAACGGGCCUGCGCUUAAUUGUGCGGCCACCAAACUCGAACAACUGUUAACAAUGGAUAUCUUGGUUCUC
rnacentral:misc_RNA from 1 species